UCUUUUCACCCUUUAAAAUGGAUUCCUACAUCAAAUCAGACUUUGGCCCCAUUAUAAUCUUCUGUGGCAUCACAUGGCUAUAGGCUCGAAGGAUAUGGCCAGUGGCGAAAUCCUCCUGCCUAAGGGGAGUUUUCGAAAGGAUGGAUCUGCUAUAAAGUAUCUUAGUCAUGCUCAUGCAUGCAUAUUAUCACUACAAAAGAGACUUGUUUUUUUAGCAACUGAGUGCUCCUGGGAUUGUGUUUCAGCACUGGAGGAACAGCCUGAAGUGCAAAGACUCUUGAAAGUGUCCUACUUGAGUUCGUGGUACGACAAAACUACCCUUUGACCUCAGGCCGUGAGGUUAGUUUCUGACGUCCCUCUCUUCUGUUUGCAUGUGGAUAAUGAAGAUGCUGCCCUGCUCAUCAGGAAAUGAGUAGGCUGCUUGACUCCAACCUGAGCUGAAGGAGAGAAGUCACAUCUAGCACAAACUGACCCAAGGGGAUGUCUGGAGUAAACCACAGGCAAGAGUCUCUCCUCCUAGAGAGGACAUCAGUCCUGGAAGAAGCUGGUGCUGGAGUGCAGAAGGGGAUGGGCAAACCAAGACACUGAGGCAUCAAAUACACCAAAUGGAGGUGGCUCUUUGGUUUCCUCCUGCGAAGGGAUUAUUCCAACAUGUCCCACAGUUCAGCAUAUGGAACAGAACAGAUCCAAACCCUGUUCGACCAAAUGCAAGGUCCCUUCAUGAGAUGCUGCUUCAGAGUGUGAGCUGACCUCUCCCAGAGAAGACAGAGCACUGCACUGUAUUAUGAGCUGUAUGAAAACAGCCAAGUAGUCUUGGAAAAAGGGUCAUCGGAAAGCAUUCACUGGAGCUGGCAGGAAAGCACAUUUUGCCAACGCUUGUUUCAUAAAUAUUUAUUUUAAAAAUUGAAUUUUGUGAGUUUUCAGAUGAAAGAAGCCAUAAACCAGUGAAUAGAAACUUCAAGAUUGAAUUUUUUUACAUAUACUCCUUAUAACUUCUUUUAUCCUUUUUCAGUUUGAAAGAACUGAAGAAACUAAAAUGUAAAAAAAAACCCUGUCUCAGCCAGAAUGCAGAGCCAAGGCCAGGUUUCCAGAAGAAUGAGUCAGUAAUAAAGAAACCUACGGCUUGUAACCAAAAUGCCUCGAGCUGUUAUCAUAAGUUAUCUUGAAUAAACUAUGUAUUGUGUACUUCUUGAAGAGCACGACCAAAAACUCACUGAAACAGUGGAUCUCCAAGUAGGUAUGGCUAAAAGCCAAACUAAUGUUUUAUGCCUCUUUUUAGUUCAUAUCCAAAAGGAUGUUUGUUUGUUUUUAUUCAUUCAUUACUCAUGGAAAAAAACCCCAACA